GGCCCACCCAACAGAAGCCACAACAGGUCCCCAAAGAAUUUCUGCAGGCUGGGACUCCUGAGUGAAAUGAAGAAGUGGGAUUCAACAGAGAGAAAUGUGAAGUCUGCCAGCUAGCCCUGAGAAGCAGGCAUGACAAGAGAGGAUGCCCGUGUUACAGAUGAGAAAAACAGAGGCCCUGGGAGGAAGCUUGCCUAAUGCCACUCAGGAGGUAGAGGCAAAGCUGGGAAAGGCCCUGGGUCCCCAGACUGCCCCUCUGGAACUCCACAUGCAGCCACCUGGCUGUCCUGCCCGGGAUGCCAUCCGCAGGCUAGGCUGGCGCUCAUGCCCAUGCCCUGCUGUCCACUGACACCCCGCAGAGCUUAACACCCCGCUGAGCCUGCCCUGCAGCCCUUGCCAAGUCUGUCCGAG
rnacentral:lncRNA from 1 species